GUUCAACAACGGAACGCGGCUUCUCGGAAAGGAAGAGGGACGGGGAAGGAGAUCUCCGGGGCGCCGCAGAGGCACAAAGCCAAGGGACACACGGGGCUGGAAUUCUGGUUCUGCCACCCAACCUAUUUGACCUUGGAUGAAUCAAAACCGUCUGAGCCUUAGCUUCCUCCUCCAUAAAAUGGGAGCUUUAAAAUCCACCUUAUAAAGCUGUUGUGAGGAGCAGACGUGAUCAUCUAUGGAGAGCAUGUAUAUUUGCUAAUAGACGAAAAAUGCGAUGAAUGAUUACAAUUAUAACCCAUGCAGUCAGCUAACAUUAGGGGCACUCCUUGCCAUUUCCUGUUGCUACCAUACUUUAUUAUUUUAAAGUGUAUUCCUGGUCAGGCAUGUGGCUCACACCCAUAAUCUCAGCACUUUGGGAAGCCAAGGCAGGAGGAUCACUUGAGGCCAGGAGAUUGAAACCAGCCUGGGCAACAUAACGAGACCCCUUCUCUACAAAGAAAUGAAAAAAUUAGUUGAGCUUAGUGGUGUGCACCUGUAGUCCCAGCUACUAGGGAGGCU
rnacentral:lncRNA from 1 species